rnacentral:lncRNA from 1 species
CCCGUGUGAACGGGUGCUGAGUCCAAACUAUAGUACUACGUUGCUAAAGCAGGCAGAUAGCACUCCACGUGUAAACAUAAUAAACAGCAAUCAUUUAGACAAGUAAUACAUGCAAGUAGGUUAGCGUUCAAAUAGUUUGUGUUGUUUGUGAAUUUGAUAGAUUACGUAUGUAACACCCAAAAGUGCGGAAAGCAAAAAGGGAUCGAGUAUACUCACAGUGGUUGAUCGUGGAUUGAGAGGAGCACUGAGAGUAGGUUAGCCUGAAUAGUUCGAUAACAAUACAAUGAGUAAUGCGGAAAAAGUGAACAGUGGAAACUGGAUCGGAUAGACCAUUCGAUCGGACGGCUGUUCGAUCGAGUGGGCUGUUCGAUUGGGUUAAAGUCCGUUCGAACGUCCCGUUCGAUCGGCCGGCUGGCUCGAUCGGCUGGUUCCUUCAAGUGGAUUGUUUCUUCCUUUGAUGUGAAGGAUGUGUUUGUAUUGUUCAGAAGUUUCCACAACAACUAUCAUACAAUUCAGUUAUAUAACACGUCCCAUACCGUGUCCCAAAUAA